AUUGAACGCUGGCGGCAGGCCUAACACAUGCAAGUCGAACGGUAACAGGAAGAAGCUUGCUUCUUUGCUGACGAGUGGCGGACGGGUGAGUAAUGUCUGUGAAACUGCCUGAUGGAGGGGGAUAACUACUGGAAACGGUAGCUAAUACCGCAUAACGUCGCAAGACCAAAAAGGGGGACCUUCGGGCCUCUUGCCAUCGGAUGUGCCCAGAUGGGAUUAGCUAGUAGGUGGGGUAACGGCUCACCUAGGCGACGAUCCCUAGCUGGUCUGAGAGGAUGACCAGCCACACUGGAACUGAGACACGGUGCAGACUCCUACGGGAGGCAGCAGUGGGGAAUAUUGCACAAUGGGCGCAAGCCUGAUGCAGCCAUGCCGCGUGUAUGAAGAAGGCCUUCGGGUUGUAAAGUACUUUCAGCGGGGAGGAAGGGAGUAAAGUUAAUACCUUGGCUCAUUGACGUUACCCGAAGAAGAAGCACCGGCUAACUCCGUG
rnacentral:rRNA from 1 species